rnacentral:lncRNA from 1 species
CCUCUCUCCCUGCCGAGCGCUCUGACCCCCGCCUGCCCGGAGAGCCCGAGGCUCUGCUUUCAGCUUCCCCGGCCUGCCCUCAACGCUCCAGCAGCCCCGCGCCGCCUCUGGCCUGGUCGCCGGCUAAGAGCCCGUCUCUUUCUCCCCCAGAGUCUGAAGGAAGGCCUGACGGUGCACGAUCGCCUGAAGCUCUUUGAGUCCAGGGACUUGCAGCAAGACUAGCUGUUCCCGUUCACCUCGGACGCACACCCUCCCCAGCCUCCGGCGGCUCGCCCAGCGCGGCUUCGCGUCUGUACCUUCGUUGUUACUGUCGUCGUCGUCGUCGUCCUGGUGAACUGUGGAGCGACAGCUGACCUGCAGCCUGGGGUCUCGGCCUGUGAUCGCAGACCAAGACGGACGCUCGCAGAGACUCAUGGGACGAAAAAGACCGUCUGUCUCUCCAAACUUUCUGAAAAGCAGCCUCCAGCUGCCUCGGAGAAGGUUGACGGGAGCCCUGCGUUAAGUCGGGAAGGUACGAGGAUGUCGGAACCAGAUGAGAACCGGCCCCUGGGACGCGUUCUUUCCCCUAAGGGGCCCGUCGGAGCCGAGGCCCCUGCAGCCGCAGCUUUGCCUUCCUGGCGGUCUGAGUCACCUGCCACCACGCUGCAGCACUUGCUGAAAUUCUGACCACAGCCCCAUGAAAAUGAAUUCUGCUCGGACACGGAGCACGAGCAACCCUGCUGUGAGGUGGCGGCGUCGUGGCAGAAGGUGUGGGGGGCAUCAGUCUGGUCUUGCUGCCUCUCUUCUCCACCAGUCCUGCCCACAGCAUCUUCCCCUCCAGACGAAUGCCAGAGCCGGCCCUGCAGCACCUGGGCACGCGGCUUCCGCGGGGUGAAAACGGAGGCACCGUCUUGCUCUGGUUCUAGAUCAGGGUCACACACCGGGUCACCUGGGGAAAGCGCUGGUGUGGGAAGAGGCCCCGGGGUGCGUCCGCAUCUCUGCACAAGCAGAGCUCUCGCUGGCACCCA